GACGAACGCUGGCGGCGUGCUUAACACAUGCAAGUCGAGCGGUAAGGCCCUUUCGGGGGUACACGAGCGGCGAACGGGUGAGUAACACGUGGGUGACCUGCCCUUAGCUCUGGGAUAAGCCUGGGAAACUGGGUCUAAUACCGGAUAUGACUCCAUAACGCAUGUUGUGGGGUGGAAAGCCUUGUGCGGCUAGGGGAUGGGCCCGCGGCCUAUCAGCUUGUUGGUGGGGUGAUGGCCACCAAGGCGACGACGGGUAGCCGGCCUGAGAGGGCGACCGGCCACACUGGGACUGAGACACGGCCCAGACUCCUACGGGAGGCAGCACGUGGGGAAUCUUGCGCAAUGGGCGAAAGCCUGACGCAGCGACGCCGCGUGGGGA
rnacentral:rRNA from 1 species